GAGGUGCAGAUCCACUGCUUUCAUUCUUUCCUCCCCAGGUUCAUUUGGUGAUCAAAUCAUCAAACUUGAAGAGAACCCAUCAAGGAAUAAUCUACUGUAGAGUUUGCUAAAGUGAAGCCCUGGGAUUCUUCUCAUCUUCAGGAGAGCGCCAGCCUGCCCAGGGGAAGCCUUGACACACGUCCAGCUGCUGAUUGGUACAUGCCUCACAGUCCGAGUGUCGAUUCUUCCUCUGAGAAAUUGGAAAGGCUACCGCAGGCUGCUGGGGAGCUUUAAUGGAGAGGAGUAUCAAAGUAAAUGGAAGUGCUCAAUGAAAUUUUCCUAGUUUCUGAGAAUUAUCAUUAACAACUUUAUCUAAGAAUAUGGAAGUAUGGAGAACUCUACUCACAUUUCAGGUUCAGAGAACUUCCAGCUCUUUCCUCCAAGCUGAAGGGCACCAAGGAUGAAAAGAACAUGUAAAUGUACCCAUUACAGAAGAGGUACAAGUCCUGGGAAGAUACAAUAUACUGAAAGAGAAGAGAAAUUACUCCUUAUUCCUCUCAAAUCUCUUUCCAGAAAUUCUUUUUUUUUUUUUUUUUUUUUUUUUUGAGAGGAUAUAGGUUCUGGACUGCUUUUCCUCUACUAGACAGCACUGUAGAGAAUUCUAUAAAUGCUAAGCCAGGCAUAUUCCCCCAUCAUUACUUUCUCACCUUGCUUAAGGCAUGUUGCAGAUGUUCUCAGAUUUCCCAAGCCUUCCUUAGUGUAGUAGCUCCAUAUGCACUACUCAGAUUAAGUACCAAGCCUGAGGAUGAAAAAGGCCAAGAAGCUUCUUGUGCUUCUGACCUCCUACCCAUCUCUCCCAGCCUUUUUAACUAUUUUUAGAUACCUGAAAAUAACUGGUCUAACUGGCCCCUGCUCUCCCUCUCUGGUACUUCCUCUCAAAAACAAAAUGCCCUCUUCCUCUUUAAUGUAUACAAACCCCUUUUGUAUAUAACAUGACUGCCAUUAUGGUAGGCAGAAUUCUAAGGAUGCAUCCUCCCCCCCCCCACCAGAUUACUGUCCCCUGAUUAUUCAAACAGUAAUUUAGAUGCUGCUGUAAAGGGAACCUGCCGGUAGCAUUAAGGUUGUUCAGCAGCUGACUGCAAAAGAGGAAGAUUGUUCUGGAUUAUCCAGGUGGGCCCAAUAUGAUCUCAUGAACCCUGAAAAGCAGAAGAAGAAGGAACAUGAGUAAGUCAAACAGAUGUGGAAGCAUGGAUAGGAGACAAAGUUUGAAGCUUGAGACCAACUAGACUCACUAUUGCUGGAAGGAGGCCGCUUGGAAAGCACAAGGAGUGAUGGGGCCUAUCUAGGAGCAAAGAUUUCUUGUUGACAGCCAGCAAAGAAAUGGGAGUUUCAGCUCUACAUCUACUUGGAACUGAGUUUUGCCUGAAUAAGUCUGGAAUUGGAUUCGAUCCAGAGUCUCCAGUAAACCUUGCCAACAUCUUGAUUUUAGUUCUGGGAGAUCCAUGACAAGUCUGACCCACAGACAC